AGUCCUGUCUACGCCGAGCAGGACUGCAGACACAGCUCUGCUGGGUCCUUCCCUCCAAGUGCUUGGGUGAGACACAGGCUGAGCUCUUGCAGACUGAGUUUAUAACAUCUGGUGUAGCUCUGCAUUGUGGACACCUCGCUGGAGCCUCCAGGGUCAGCUGAUGGACUGAGAAACCCUGUGAAGCACAGUGUCUUCCGGAACCACGGGGAAUGGCAUGGUACAAGGUAAGGAGCUCUCUACAAUCAGCAAAGCAUCCACUUCACCGAGUUUAAGCUAAAGCCUUGGAAGGGCUAUAGAAUGGGAUUAGAAUGGCAGAUUGGAAAUAUGGUGCAUUUCUACCUGAUGCUUCACUAAUGGAAAGUAUGAAAAUUGCACUUCUCUGCAGAAGUAAAUACACAUGGGUUUUGGGAAGAGAAUCAAGAUCUCUCAUACAUUAGGCAACUGCCAUAACUGCUAAUCUUGGUCUCCUGUGAUAUACAAGAAGUCUAACAUGGCCAUACCAGAAGCUCUUUGCCAUUCGGAGGGAAUCAGCAAAUGAAAGAAGUCUGGGACUGGACUGGUAGAUUAGCUGUUAAUUUGCAACUCCUUUUCUUAGACUUGCCUCUGCACGGGGACACUUAUACCUCAGUAGAAUUCAUUCUUUUCUAAUCACUUCAUAUCUAUCAGAAGCAAAGAAGGAUCAGAAACUAAAGGCUGCUAUCCCUUUUAUAUUAUUAUUCAUGAGUUGUGAGUCUAACUUACCAAAUUCAAGGCCUUGUUUUUAUAGGGAACAACCUCUGUACAUUUUUUCAAGGUCAGAUCUAUUUGGGUCUUUUGGUUAAACUCAUAUCAUCUGUUAGUAUAUUUGUGGCAUUUGUAGAAGUUAAAAGAAUUGAUUAAACAUAUCUAUAAAAAGACUUAAGCUGAAAUGGAAAACACGUUUAGGUCAUCUAGUCUAUGUCUUUGCCAAAGGGGCAUUGUUCCCUUGAGUAUAAUUUCUAGGAUUUGGAAUAGAUUUCCAGUUUUUUUUUUUUGUUUUGUUUUAUUUUUUUUAAAAUUGGUUUCCUCUUUUGAAAGUUAACCCAGGACUAUAGCUAUAAAGCUCAGAUUGUAAACUGAAACUCAGUGUUUCCAAGGUACAUAGACUGCUGAUCCUUCUGGAAAUAUUGUUCCAUUUUGGACUAUGCUUCUGUGGUAAAUGGAAAAAGAAAUAUCUAUUAUUAUAUUUUGAAGAUGUUAGUAUUUCUGAAAUAAAGAAAUGGAACCUUCUACUUUAGCAGUAGUUGCUCAUGUUGUCCAGUGAAUGCUGUCCUGCAUUUGUUCACCUUUCUGUAAACUUUCUGAUAUGGGCUGAAUAGAACACAUAUGGGGCAGAACUGUGAAUAGAAGUGUUGUUGUUCACUGUAGAUCUCUUUUGCUUCAUCUCUCCCUCUCUCUACUGUCAAGAACUGAAACGAUGUGCAGAGUCAUCAAACAGAAAUCUGGUUGAAAAAUAGAUUAUUUUCUUUUUCAGCUCAAUUUAUUUAUUUCUAAGUGUAUUUUCACUUAACCCAGAAUUAAAUGUAGUCUUGAUUU
ensembl:lncRNA